UCGGAAGCUAAGGUAGGUUGGGCCUGGUUAGUACUUGGAUGGGAGACCGCCUGGGAAUACCAGGUGCUGUAAGCUU
rnacentral:rRNA from 1 species